CAGUAGCCGCGGGAAUACGAAGGGGGCUAGCGUUGUUCGGAUUUACUGGGCGUAAAGCGCACGUAGGCGGACUUUUAAGUCAGGGGUGAAAUCCCGGGGCUAAACCCCGGAACUGCCUUUGAUACUGGAAGUCUUGAGUAUGGUAGAGGUGAGUGGAAUUCCGAGUGUAGAGGUGAAAUUCGUAGAUAUUCGGAGGAACACCAGUGGCGAAGGCGGCUCACUGGACCAUUACUGACGCUGAGGUGCGAAAGCGUGGGGAGCAAACAGGAUUAGAUACCCCGGUAGUCCCUGUCUCUUAUAC
rnacentral:rRNA from 1 species